AGGGACUCCGGUACGAGUGACAGGACAUGAACCCGCUCCUGCUCCCUGUGUGUUUGGGGUUCGUGGUCGCCCUGCCGCCGGUACAGAAUGCCAAGGAGAGCCGGUUUAGUCAGCAUGACGCGGCGCAUUACAGGGAUCGAGUGAAGUCCAUGUUUUAUCACGCUUACAACAAUUACCUGGAGAAUGCCUUUCCGUAUGAUGAGUUGCGACCUCUUACCUGUGAUGGACAAGAUACGUGGGGCAGGUGAUUAGACUGCAUCGAGAAAAACAUGAUUAAGUAGUAAAUUGCCGAAUAUUGUAGGAGAGUACCAGACAAUAGAGAAAGAUUAAAUAGGAAUGAAGAA